rnacentral:lncRNA from 1 species
ACUAGCAAAGAGAAGCCCGAAGAGGCUGAAGUUUCCACGGAGGGCACCGUCGGGGAGACGCAGCCCGGGAGGACGGGAGGGUUGGGCUCGCUACCUCUGCACACGGGCGAGCCGGGGCUCCGUCUCUCAGCAUGUGACACCUUCUGCCAUGAGAUGAUGCUACAAGAAGAACCUCACCGACUGCUGGCACCUUGAUACUGGACUUCACAGCCUCCAGAAUUGUGAGCCAAUAAUCCACUUUAAAGCAAGAAAACAAGAUAAUUCAAGAAAAUUUAGAAGAAAAUGGAUUUCUCAGGCAACUGAAAGAACAUAUUUGGAUCUGUUAAGAUGAAAGGAGACUUCAAGAGAACUGGACUUUGUGUUGGACAGGCUGUCUGUGACAGGGAAAAAACCCCUUCUGAAUGAUUAGGGAUGAAUCAGUUAACUUGCUUGAGUUUCACAUUCUUCAUCUGUAAAAUCUGGUGAUUAGACUGGCCCAGCAAAAGAUAUAAUGGGCAAAAGAUAUAAUACACAUAAAUUGGAAUGAAUCUGCAUUUUCCAAGCCUGAUGACUUUAUUAAAACUGAAUUAAGUCACUAACUGGCAGCCUGAAGAUGAAAGGAAAGAACUCAGUCAUGCUUCUUAAGGUAAAAGGGCAGUCUAACUGAGAAUUUUGUUAUCUCUGAGGACAAAUUACAAGGAGAUAAAGACACUCAAGAUCACAUGGAAGGCUUCUGCUCCCACUUAGAGACUGCAAUGUAAGCGACGGAGACAAAGAAGAUUUUCCUGAGCAGUGUCAGUAACAAAGAAAUGAAGCAAAUUAUUAAGAAACUGAUGGGCAUUCAUUGAAGAGCAACAAAUAUGAUUCAUAAGUCUGAAGGGACAGCCUUCAGAGAGAAGAUGAAAGAGACAAGUCUCUCAGCAUGACCAUGUGGCUCUAACGGGACUGGCUCAUGGGCAACAAGUACUUGAAGGGUGUAAAUAGUGGGGACAGAGAGAAAUUAUUUAGUGUGCAAGGGGACAGCAGGAGGAGUGAUGGUAAAUGAAAGUCAAAACAAAGAUGAUUUAGGCAGCUGAACGAGUCACAGGCCCUAAUGGAGAGAUCUAUUAUAGGCUGUACAGCCUUGGGAAGGGUGGAAACCCCAUCACUUGUGCCAUUUACAGUUGGAAAAGCCAUUAAAAAGUAGAUCAGCCUGUUGGAGAGGGAAAAAACACCGCAGGUCCUCAGAGAAUCAGUGG